rnacentral:rRNA from 1 species
AUUGAACGCUGGCGGCAUGCCUUACACAUGCAAGUCGAACGGCAGCACGGGGGCUUGCACCUGGUGGCGAGUGGCGAACGGGUGAGUAAUACAUCGGAACAUGUCCUGUAGUGGGGGAUAGCCCGGCGAAAGCCGGGUUAAUACCGCAUAAGAUCUACGGGUGAAAGCGGGGGACCUUCGGGCCUCGCGCCAUAGGGUUGGCCGAUGGCUGAUUAGCUAGUUGGUGGGGUAAAGGCCUACCAAGGCGACGAUCAGUAGCUGGUCUGAGAGGACGACCAGCCACACUGGGACUGAGACACGGCCCAGACUCCUACGGGAGGCAGCAGUGGGGAAUUUUGGACAAUGGGCGAAAGCCUGAUCCAGCAAUGCCGCGUGUGUGAAGAAGGCCUUCGGGUUGUAAAGCACUUUUGUCCGGAAAGAAAUCCUUGGCCCUAAUACGGUCGGGGGAUGACGGUACCGGAAGAAUAAGCACCGGCUAACUACGUG